CUCCCUUGGCCCCUGCUUCCUUCCGUGGCCGCACCAGGCACAGCCGCCGCAGGCGCACAAGACGUCCGCUCCCGCCCGGCCGCCUGCUCGUCGUUACGUGCACCCGCCGCGACCGCCUCCGUAUGGCUGGCCGCCGGCUAUCCGAAUACGACUGCGCACCCGUGCCUUACGGAGUCACCGCCUCGCAGGUUCUAGCCUCGCGCGCUUGCUAGCCUGCUGGUUGGCCGUGCUUCGCCAGACGACUACUGCUUGGUGCUCAGUUUGCUGCUUACUAGCCUGCUUCGGCUGCUUGCUUGGCUUAGCUGCUUGCAAGCCUGUUGCUAGUUGCUAGACGGCCUCUUCCCUAGCCUGCUUUUGCUGCUUGCUAGUUGCUAGCCUGCUGCCCUGCUUGAUUUCAAAAAGAUUGGUUUGAGCAAUAUAAUUGGUUGGAAUACAGUUUGCUUAUAUUUGGUUAAAUUGCUGAUUUGACAUAUAGUCUACAUCAGAUUCUUGAUCUAAGGGCAACCCUGUAGGCAUCAUGGAAGAAAACGAGUGAGUUCAGCAGCCAUUACAACAGAUGGGAAUACAGACAAACUCUUUGAAUUCUUGGAACAACGGUUAGGCAAGCCAUUGCUAAUAACAUCGGCAGCCAAUUUGGUAUCAGCAGAACCCUGAAAUGAUCAAAAACGACGUUUCCCAUGACAGGAAGAAUGUCCAGCUCGACGUGCUUGGUCCGAAUUUUUGAAACAUAAUGUUAUCGACUCUACUUUUUUUUUAUAUAGAAUACAAACCACUUCGAAAGCAAUCAGAAAACUUUGACCGGACCUUUUGUCAACAUUUGUACCGACCAUUUUCAAAUCUUAGCAUGAAGAGAAAAGGCCUUUUACGAUUCACAACAAAACAAAUCACCCCAGAGACUGGAGAUAGCCUCCCCUAGUGCACAAGGCAAUCUUCAGCAGAUCCUCUAUCCCAUUCAUUAUCCGUCACAUAUUUUAAAUUUAUCUCUGUGAAGAGUGUCAUCAUAAUUUCUGAACCCUAUUUUACACAAACCACUAGAGGACAGUCCAAGAACUCCAAUCUACCAACCUACCGCCGCAACGAGCAGAGGUGCUGCGACGAGGCAGCAAGUUCCAAGGUCGUCAAAAUGUACUGUCGAUCCUUUCGCGAGUAAGAUCUGCAUUGCUCAGUAUUAUGAAUGAUCUUCUCAUGGAUGCCAGAAGCAUCUCCGAAGUCUGACAUGCGAAGUUUGUUCACAAUUCAUCACCACAAUUUCAAUUUGCAACGAGGCAAACACUGGAACAGAGGAAACUGAUCGACUCGACGCAAAAAAAAGGGCUUUUGCUCGAGAUCAGAAGGAAAACAGAGACGGUUGUCAGUCACUGAAAAAAAUCAGAAACACGGACCAAUCUUUCCUUCAUCACAUCCAGCGCAGAUCCAGAUUCACAAACGAACACAAAAAGGGGGGAAACGGCGACAGCAGAAGCAUUUGCGAUGGCAGCACGUAGGCCAUCAGAGACUUAAAACUAGGAAUCAUGUCCUGGAUCAUUUUGUUGCAGUUAUUCUCUAAUCAUCUGACCAUGCACACCAUUGCAGCCGAGAGAUGCAAAAAAAUGAUCGGAAAAAAAACUGCGAAGAGCGAAAUAAACACUGCACCAAGGAGAGGAGAGGAGACGAGACGAUUGAUUGGAGAGAAACGAAGCGAAGGAGGAAGAGAGACAGCCGCACUUGCAGUCCGCACCCAGCAGCGCCGGAAUGCCCGCGCAUCCAAGAUUCAUUUUGCUUCUGCAUAUAAAGACGUCGAGUGAAGAAACCCUAGGAGCCCCUGUCCUGUGUCGCGGCUAACAAGGGCCAAGCCCAUGAACAAGUACGGUCGAAAGUCCUGAAUCCGCCGUGGGACGACGGCUGCAGAGGUCCGGUCACGUUGGCGGGUGGUCAGUGCGGAGCUAGUGAGCUAGCUAGCGGGACUCGCGUGGCGCAACGCAAGGCCAGUUGUGUGGCUGCAGGGGCCAGGCCAGGGGGCACACCUGCGUGGCACUGUUUGGCUUGUACAGGACGUGUGACAGGAUUAAUUGGGACGAAAACAAAAGACUCAAGUUGUCA